GAUCGAACCCAGUCAGGGUG
rnacentral:miRNA from 1 species